UACGUAGGGUGCAAGCGUUGUCCGGAAUUAUUGGGCGUAAAGAGCUCGUAGGCGGUUUGUUGCGUCGGCUGUGAAAUCCCGAGGCUCAACCCCGGGCCUGCAGCCGAUACGGGCAGACUAGAGUUCGGCAGGGGAGACUGGAAUUCCUGGUGUAGCGGUGAAAUGCGCAGAUAUCAGGAGGAACACCGGUGGCGAAGGCGGGUCUCUGGGCAUUAACUGACGCUGAGGAGCGAAAGCAUGGGGAGCGAACAGG
rnacentral:rRNA from 1 species